UACGGAGGGUGCAAGCGUUAUCCGGAUUUACUGGGUUUAAAGGGUGCGUAGGUGGGUUUGUAAGUCAGUGGUGAAAUCUCCGAGCUUAACUCGGAAACUGCCAUUGAUACUAUAGAUCUUGAAUUAUCUGGAGGUAAGCGGAAUAUGUCAUGUAGCGGUGAAAUGCUUAGAUAUGACAUAGAACACCAAUUGCGAAGGCAGCUUACUACGGAUAUAUUGACGCUGAGGCACGAAAGCGUGGGGAGCGAACAGG
rnacentral:rRNA from 1 species